AAAUUCCAAUAGGGGAAAUUCAAUGGGAAUGUUGUAUUUUUGCUCUCAGGAGGGAUGUGCAUCGAUUAUUAGCAACCGAUCGUCAAACCUGAGGAUUAACCAUUGUAAGCAUAUAAGGGUAAAAAAGAAAUCUGGGGGAUAAUUUUGAUUUCCCCAUAAAAUGGUCUCUUCCAAGUAUUGAUAUUUGUGUACAACAUCAACCUUUUGACCGUAGUCUUGCAGUUGCUCAAUACGAAAGGUUGUGUAGGGGUCGCGUCUUGACGGUGGAUAGCAGGCAAUUGAUGUUAGAAACGGGGCAAACCCAGAUAAUGUGUUACCCUCGAAGCUCACAUGGCCCCAUGGUGCUAUUAAUGAUUUGGGGUUGAUUCUGUUAGGAGAAAAUGAGUCUCCUUUUUCUUUUCUUUUUUUGUAUUCUUAUUAUAAGUUGCGACCUCGCAAAUGGUCUUCUCUAUCUAUCAGUGAUCAGGAAGUUUCUGUGAGCUCUAACGUGAUUACAAAUGAUCUUCCCUAUCUAUUGAGGAAUACAUUCUUUCCACUUCCUCAUUACUUCAUUGGGAGAAAAAGGGUAACUUUCCACAUUAAGGCUUAGUUUGGAUGGGCGGUGUGUUUAGCUCCGGUGAGAUUAAAAACAGCGGUGGCGGUGAGAUUAGUUACUGUAGCGGUGAGAUUGGAUACUGUAGCAGUGAGAUUAGAAACAGCGGUGGAGUGUGUGUUUGGAUUCAAACGCAGCUGUAGCGGUGAGGUAAAAAUAGAAAAUGACUUUUAAGGGCAUUUGAUUAAAAAUGAUAUAUAAUAGAAGUUUUUAAAAUUAUUUAACAAUUACAAAAUUAAUAAAUGAUUAAAAAUUAUUACAAUUAUAUUUAUUUUUAAUAAUAAAUAAUUAAAAAUGAAUUAAAACUAGAGAAAAAUUCAAAAAUUUAUUUUAUUUAAUAUUUCAAAAUUAAUCAUAUAUUUAAUUAUAGAGGCUCAAUUCAUUAUUGAAAGAUUAUUGAAAUUAUUGAGCCUUUAGAAAAAUAAAACAUUAUUGAAAGAUAAAAUAAUAAAGUAACACUAGAAUAAGGGUCUUAAUGCAUGUUAUUUCAAAUGUUUGUCAUUAGUAACUCAAUGCAAGACAUUGCUAGCACCAAAUAACUUUAAAACUAAAAUCAACCGUCGGCUAGUAACUGAAAUAGCCUAUGGCCACCAUGUAGAACGUGCAAUGUCGAGCCUUGAACUGGUCAUCAAUGCUAAAGGGAAGAGUUAAAAAUCACAUCUGUUGGUGUUUUGACAGCAGAGGAAGAAAACAGAAGCAAGUAACCCGGAUGAUGUAAAGAUUAACUUCAUUACUUGAAUAAGCAAUAUGCCAUAUACAUAAGUAGUCCGGAUUACAUGUGUUGGUUUUUUUAGCAGAAAACUAAGGAGAAAAAGAAAAACGAAUGCAAAGAAGUUUGAACAAUAAGAAAACUGAAUUUGAUUUCCAAAAUUCAGAUCUUUUUCAUUGACUUGAGAAGCAUUUAUGUUACAAUGAAAUAUGGCACCUAACUAAUGUAUAACUGCUCCCACUAAUACAUGACUAAAGCCUAGAUAGAAUUACAAACAAAAUGUAGCUGACAUACCAGCUAUAACAUCAAACAUAAAUCUAACCCUAUCGAAAUGUAUUAUUACAAGAGAUAGAUGUCUAAGGUGUCAUGCUACUAAAGACAUCUAAAAUUGAACGUCCAAGUAAAGAAGCACAAAUCUAUGAAUGUUUAUUUAGGUACAAAAAAAAUCCUGAAAAAUGCAGGCACAAAAGAUGAAAAGAUAUUAUCUUUGCAUAUUGCAUGCCAAACUAGUCUAAAACCUUCCGUCCAAAAAUACCAAACCUUUUAAGGAAGCAGUUUUCAACUGAUCUUAACUAUGGAAAUCGAGUCGUAGCAAAGUAAGGUCAUAAUAAAUGGUGGAUAACAUGAAAGCAAAAAUAACCAUGAAGAAAUAAAUUUAUCAAGUGAACCUCUUCAAUUGCCGAGGUAUGUUCCUCUAGGCGCAAAUCAUGUACAUUUGGAAGAGCACUAGCUGCACAUUUUCUAACAUAGACAGAUGGAUCUCUAGCACACUUGCCCACAGCCACCAGAACAAGAGGUUCAAUAACAUGAAGACGAAUUCCAGCCAUGGUGCGAAGUGCCCAUGCUCUCACCAAGGGAUUAGGGUCCCCCAAAUCCUUCUGGAAACAAUUAAUUGACAACAAUGCUUCGUUGGGACGCCUACAAAAUUAAACACAGAAACAUUAACAAUAAGUUCAAUCUACCUGCUUAAAUACAAGAAAUACAAUCCAGGUCACUCAUCACCUCUCCUUUGAGCCACUAUUAUUUUAAACUAAUGAGUUUCCACCAUCUCAAGCACUGCUUUUAUUAAGAAAAAUAACAGUUCUUCAAAAUGAAUUGUAAUUAAAUAAACUUGAAAAGUACUUAAAAACCAUGAUCUAAUAACUACUCUUAUAUAAUAACUAGUUAAACUUGAUACCGUUUCUAUCCGGUGCAAUUAGAGAUAGAUUUCAAGCAAGCAUGUUCUUUGUUCAUACUAAUAAUUCUCUCAUUUACUAAUAUUGCUUCUUAACAUAUGGAAGCAACCAUAGGAAAAUAAAAAGAAUAUUGUAAGAGAAGUUUGCGAAACAUACUAUUCAGCAUAAUGCAGUAGAUACAAAUAAACAAGUUUAUUUACUUCCAAAGAUUGAGAUGCCACGUUUUUAACAACCUGUAAUUCAAGCAACCAGAGAGAUGAAAAACAUAUAUACACCUCAAUUAACAAACAAAUAUAAGAUUUAAAAGUAUCCAUUACCAAACCCUGAUUUCAUAUCAUGAAUGCAAUUAUGAACAGCUAUUUGUAUUUUAUCCACAGUCCUAGACCCGAUUCAACCAUUUCUUCACUAAUCAGAGUGCAGCUAUCAAUAAAGAUCCAAUGAAUUAUAACUACAACACUCAAUAGCUUAAUUUUCUUUCUCAAUUAUCCUGUGAUAAGUUCACUACACCUAUUAAACAAUGAUAUUUAAACUUUUAGACACUUAAAUUUAUUUACACUUUCCAGAAACCUUAUCAGCAGUCAAAACGGUGCUCUGAAUGAAAUUACAAAAUCCAGGUCACUUCAAUAUUAAAUUUUAAGUAAUUUUUUCAGAGUUCAUUCAAUAAAAAGAAAUCAAAAAUGAAAAACAAAUUACCUGAGGGAAGUAAUUGGAGACGUCGAAGCCUUGAGCGAUGAGAGUGAGAAGUCGCUUAAGAGCCUCACACUUCUCCUAAUCGAAUUUACUAUCUAAAAGCGAAGCAAUGCUGACAUCAUCCGAAUUGUCGUAGGGGUGAGCAUCAAUUCCGAUCCAGAACACCAUCGUCGACGCCUUGCUCAACGUCUCUGCCGUCGCUCCGAACUGUGGAAACAUUUUCGAUUAGUUUUUCCUUUUCUUCUUUACACAAAUUAAGAAUUCAUCAAAAUUGAAAUUGAAAAUUUAAUUUCAAGGGGGAAAUUGAGAAGACUUUGUGAUCUCUUGAUGUACUAAUGGAAGCAUUCAUGGUAGAUUUGCCUGAGAAAGAGAGGAAACAAAACAGAAUAUGCUGAGAAAAGAAGAUGAAGAACGGAAGAAGAAAAAGGAAUGAAGAACGGAAGAAGGAGAAGGAGCCUUACCUGGAUGAAAGAGGAAUCGGAAGAAGUCCUUGACCAAACUGAUUUGCAACCCAAGGGGAAGGCGAAAGGGAAGGGGAAGGGGAAAGGGGAGAAGAAGGUAACCGACAUCAGAAAAGCCUGAAGAAUGCAACUGAAGAACAUAUGGGUAAAAGAAGAAAACAAAAAGCAAUUGAAGUUGCUAAAUUUUUACUGGAACAAAAGGCUCCAGUCUGGAAUUGAGACUCCAAUGAGAUGAAAUGCAUUUUCAACGCACUGAAGAAAGCUUUCCAAACACCCUUGCGUUUACUAACAUUUCAGCUGCAAUUUUUUUUAGCCUUAAAAAACCAACGUACUGAGAUGCAGUUGCAUCCAAAGGAAGCCUAAGCUGAUCACGCCAAACAAUAAAGGUCUUCACUUCGCCAGCAGAGGACUUAAAUUUUGACGAACCACCAUGAGCAAUACGUUACACACUGCGAACUGAACUGAAGAUGGACCUAGCAACUAGUUGCCCCUGCAAGGAACUUUGCACAGGGACAGAGGGAACAAGAGGGCGCCCGAUUUCUU
rnacentral:lncRNA from 1 species